rnacentral:tRNA from 1 species
GGGGCUAUGGCGAAACUGGUAGACGCGUUACUCUCAGACGGUAAUGUUUUAACGUGUGAGUUCGACUCUCACUAGCCCCACCA